GUGUUCACUUUGGCAGCACAUUUGCUAAAACUGGAAUGAUACAAAGAAGACCAGCAUGGCCCCUACUCAAGGAUGGCACCCAAAAUUUCAAAAGGCAAUCUCAAAGUUU